AGGCUGUGAAGAAUCAAUGCCACCUGAAAACAACAGCAGAAAGCAGGAACCCUUUGUAUGUACUUGCACAGACAAUUACACAGCACAAGCAAUCACAUUUGAUUCUACAGUAACUACAAAAAACAAUACAGUACUUCAAAGAGAGAUGCCUUCAAACAAAUAUCUAUGGAAAGAUUGGUUGCUUUAAAAAUUCAAUACCUACAGUGCUAAAACUCCAUUAUAAUGAACAAAUUGCUGUGACAACUGCAAAAAAAAAAAAAAAAGAAAGCAUGGUGCAGUACGAGCAAGACUAAGCUGAAGCUUCUUUUUGAUAUAUCCCCACAAUGCUGUGCUUUUACAAGUUAGUCUUCCCAGAGCAUUUUUUUACUGCAAUGGACUUCCUAUAACCUCGGCUUCUAUACAGUGUCCUGCAGAUUCCUCAUGGGAGCUUCAGAACCUGUCAGCAGGAAUGCUCUUAAUACAGUAGCUCUCCUCAAGCAAGAUAUGCAAGAUGACACGGGAAAUUCUUUGCUACAUCUAUGUGAUCACCCAGGUUUUGUAGAGCUGUUUGUAGGGUGGUGGUAUUUUCCACAUUGCAGGUCAAUAUAGCGAUGCUGGCAGCAUCAA